rnacentral:rRNA from 1 species
GAUGAACGCUGGCGGCGUGCCUAAUACAUGCAAGUCGAGCGAACAGACGAGGAGCUUGCUCCUCUGACGUUAGCGGCGGACGGGUGAGUAACACGUGGAUAACCUACCUAUAAGACUGGGAUAACUUCGGGAAACCGGAGCUAAUACCGGAUAAUAUAUUGAACCGCAUGGUUCAAUAGUGAAAGACGGUUUUGCUGUCACUUAUAGAUGGAUCCGCGCCGCAUUAGCUAGUUGGUAAGGUAACGGCUUACCAAGGCAACGAUGCGUAGCCGACCCGAGAGGGUGGUCGGCCACACUGGAACUGAGGCACGGUCCAGACACCUACGGGGGGCAACAGUAGGGAAUCUUCCGCAAUGGGGGAAAGCCUGACGGAGCAACGCCGCGUGAAUGAUGAAGGUCUUCGGAUCGGAAAACUCUGUUAUUAGGGAAGAACAAAUGUGUAAGUAACUAUGCACGUCUUGACGGUACCUAAACAAGAAGCCACGGCUAACUUCGUG